rnacentral:pre_miRNA from 1 species
AACAACUCUAGUUGUCCAGUGUUUGAUUUGUAAAAUUGUUUCAGGUACAGGAAAAACUGGAGGCAAGGGACAGGACAA